AGACGAAGAAAGGCUGACAUGCGCAGAAGAGCGCCGCCUCCUCGGCUUGGGAGGCCGGAGCAUGCGCAGAAGCGUUCCGGAGUCUGAGGUAAAUUUCUAGCGCCGUCUCCAUGGAAACACCACAGGCGAGGCCUAUCCCUUCUUGGCAAGGAAACUAGCCCGGUAUAGAUCCGGGAUCAGAAUCUUAUUCUAAGCCGGACCACACCCGGAACCACACCGUGUCCAAUUCUGGGCCUCACCAUUGACACUGUGUCCAAUUCUGGGCCUCACCAUUUGACUCUUAAGAAGAUCACAAUCGCUAUGAGGAGCGGCUUGAAGAGCUAGGCCUGUUUUAGCCUGUAGAAGAGAAGGCGGAGGGGAGACAUGAAGAUGGAAUGUGUCUGGGCCUCACCAUUGACUCUUUAAGAUGGAAUGUGUCCGGGAUCAAGGGCCUGGAGAACAAUCUCUAUGAGGAGCGGCUUGAAGAGCUAGGCAUGUAGAAGAGAAGGUUGAGAGGAGACAUGGUGAAGGCCAUGGAUGAAGAGGUGAGAGGGGAAGUCAUAUUGAGGAGGGAGCAAGCUUGUUUUGGCUUAUUAUUAUAAUAAUAAUAAUAAUAUCUAUAGAUGUGGGCGAAACGUCAGGAGAGAAUGCUUCUGGUGAAGGCCAUGGAUGAAGAGGUGAGAGGGGAAGUCAUAUUGAGGAGGGAGCAAGCUUGUUUUGGCUUAUAAUAAUAAUAAUAAUAUCUAUAGAUGUGGGCGAAACGUCAGGAGAGAAUGCUUCUGGUGAAGGCCAUGGAUGAAGAGGUGAGAGGGGAAGUCAUAUUGAGGAGGGAGCAAGCUUGUUUUGGCUUAUUAUAAUAAUAAUAAUAAUAUCUAUAGAUGUGGGCGAAACGUCAGGAGAGAAUGCUUCUGGUGAAGGCCAUGGAUGAAGAGGUGAGAGGGGAAGUCAUAUUGAGGAGGGAGCAAGCUUGUUUUGGCUUAUAAUAAUAAUAAUAAUAAUAUCUAUAGAUGUGGGCGAAACGUCAGGAGAGAAUGCUCCUGGUGAAGGCCAUGGAUGAAGAGGUGAGAGGGGAAGUCAUAUUGAGGAGGGAGCAAGCUUGUUUUGGCUUAUUAUUAUUAUUAUAAUAAUAAUAUCUAUAGAUGUGGGCGAAACGUCAGGAGAGAAUGCUUCUGGUGAAGGCCAUGGAUGAAGAGGUGAGAGGGGAAGUCAUAUUGAGGAGGGAGCAAGCUUGUUUUGGCUUAUUAUUAUUAUUAUAAUAAUAAUAUCUAUAGAUGUGGGCGAAACGUCAGGAGAGAAUGCUUCUGGUGAAGGCCAUGGAUGAAGAGAUGUGGGCGAAACGUCAGGAGAGAAUGCUUCUGGAACAUGGCCAUACAGCCCGGAAAGUGCGCAACAACCCAUUGGGAAGAACUUCCUCGCCGUGAGAAAGCUGUUUAGCAGUGGAACUCUCUGCCUCAGAGUGUGGCGGAGGCUCCCUUAAUAAUAAUAAUAAUUAUUAUUAUUAUUAUUAUUAUUAUUAUUUUAUUUAUAUCCCGCCUCCAUCUCCCCCAAAGGGGACUCAGGGCGGCUUACAGAAAAAUCAAAAUACAAGCAAUGAUAAAAUAUGAAACAUCAAAGGACAACAACAGAAACCAAUAAUAAAAUAUACACAAUAGGCAAAAAAAACACAACACAGAAUUAAAA